GAUGAACGCUGGCGGCGUGCCUAAUACAUGCAAGUCGAGCGAACGGACGAGAAGCUUGCUUCUCUGAUGUUAGCGGCGGACGGGUGAGUAACACGUGGAUAACCUACCUAUAAGACUGGUAUAACUUCGGGAAGCCGGAGCUAAUACCGGAUAAUAUUUUGAACCGCAUGGUUCAAAAGUGAAAGACGGUCUUGCUGUCACUUAUAGAUGGAUCCGCGCUGCAUUAGCUAGUUGGUAAGGUAACGGCUUACCAAGGCAACGAUGCAUAGCCGACCUGAGAGGGUGAUAGGCCACCUUGGAACUGAGACACGGUCCAGACUCCUACGGGAGGGAGCAGUAGGGAACCUUACGCAAUGGGCGAAAGCCUGACGGAGCAACGCCGCGUGAGUGAUGAAGGUCUUCGGAUCGUAAAACUCUGUUAUUAGGGAAGAACAUAUGUGUAAGUAACUGUGCACAUCUUGACGGUACCUAAUCAGAAAGCCACGGCUAACUACGUG
rnacentral:rRNA from 1 species